rnacentral:lncRNA from 1 species
CUGUGACCUGCUGCCCUCCUUCCUGUGGCUGCUGAUUUGACUGCUUGGUUGGUGGUUUAAGGUGAACCAGUACACCAUGACUUGAUAUCUAGGCUGAAAAUUCCUCAGACCUUCCUAUCUCUGUUAAGCUAAUGUUUACAUGUAAAGAACUUUUCAAAGCUGCCACUCCUCUCUUAAGCAUUCAGAGUGAUACGUCAGCUUCUAAAUACAUAUCUCCUGGCCAUACCCCUAACCAAACAUAGUUGCAGAUGACUUCAGUAUUUCUCUUGAGGGACUGUGAUCUGCCUGUCUCUCCCCACCGAGAGAAAGAAAACUCUUCGCCAUGGGGCUUCUUCUUGUGGCAAUCUCUUGGGAAGCAGCUGGUUGACAUGGAGCUGGCAGGCGGUAGGCUGUGGUGGCAUGCCAGUGGGCAAGGUAAGGUGCAAACAGGAGUCUCCAGGAGCAAGAAGGUGAGUCAGUGAAAGCGAAGCCAAGUCCAUGUAACAGGGCAGCUGGCCCUGCCACAGGCAGGGCAUUGGCGGCUGGCUACUGGUGGUGGACUGUGCUCCAGCAUCUUCUUCUCUGGGCAAGCAUUGGGGAAGUCUUGGGGUGAGUGGAAGAGCCCUAAGGGCUGGGAAGCUGAAGGCCACUGCUUGAAAAAGGAGGUGAAGGAGCACGGUGGUGGGUGGCUCCCUUUGGAGUGGGAGGCUAACCAGUCCAAAGCUGGGGUGAAGGGGGACAGAUGGUGCCAGGAAGAAGCUUGGACGCAAGAAGCUAUAGAGCAAGUUGCUCAUCCAGGGCUGUCUCAUAUGUCUCAUUCAUGGGGGGGUCUGCCCAGGAUGGUGCAGAACUGAUCAGGGGAGAUUACAGGCACUGGGGACAAGGGGGGGAUCACUGCAAGGUGUAGGUGGCUGCCUCUGGACUUUCCUGGCAAGUAGCUAAAAGAAGCUGUCUUUUGUGGUGCUUCUCAUGAGCUGCAGCAAGGGGGGAGAACUCAUUCUGUGGGGCAGGUAGACACAGGGAGGUGACUUGUCAGCAAUUAUUGCAAACUUAUCUUUUUUUUCCCCCUCCUGUGAGCUGGACCUCCUAUCUGGAAAUGAAGAGGGUUAUCUCUUCUGAGGCUGGUUCUUCUUUCCAUGUACCCCACUGGAGCUAAGGCAAUCUGCUCAGUGUUGUGUGACUUUGAAGACUGACAAAUUGCUUUCUGCAGCCAAAAUGCCAUUUCCCUCUGAGACAGGGAUGCAAUCCUGCUUCAGAUUACAGCCCCGAAGGAGCAAACGGAGGCUAUUCCGGUGUUAGCCAGGUUACCCGGGGCACGCGAGCUGCUAACCCCGCUGCUGCAGGACCAUCUGGACAGACGCUGAGGAGCCCCGGGCACCGAUAAUGCUGCUCCGAGGUAAUUUCUACUUGAAGGAGAGCCGUAGGUCAGUUCAAGCUGGAUCAGUUCCAAGCCAUGUAGAGUUAAACUAACCCCUCCCACAG